GGAGAAUUCUACAGGGUUGCUCUAAGAACUGUCUUCUCAGCAGUUGAUCCAGCUGUACGGAAAUUUAGGGUAUUUAAACUUUUAAAGGAUCAUGAGCUGUUUCUUGGGCGAUGAAUGUUCUUAAUCAGAAAACUGACAGUAGAAAUCUCACUUCUGGGGAAAACAGUUGUGGAAUUCUUACUUCAUUAUGAAUGUAUUUAAAAAACAAACACCAAAUAAUUGGAAUAUAUUGCAGGCAUUAAGCUCAUUAAAAACAAACUGGCUUGCAGAAGGGUCCGAUGUGCCAAGUGAUCAUGAUUCUGCUGGAAAGAGGAUUUUAAAUAUUGUGGGAGUUCUCCCACCCUAAGUCUUACAUAAUGCCACCAGUCCAUCCAAAACCUAUAUAUCACCUAUACUAUAUAUAUCAUAUAUAUAGUUGAAUGGCAGUAUUCAGGCUCAACGUACAGUUUGAUCCUGAGUAUGCUUGGUGUUUGCCUUCAGAAAAAAAAACACAAAACAUUGUAAAUAACCUCAGCUGGGAUGAGGAGUGACAGAAUAUCAAAAUAAUUUGUGGCUGUGGAUUUUUUUAACUGCUAGUAGUGGAAUACUGGAAAAGCUUCAUUUCUGAAGAUGAAUUUUAUUUUUAAAAAAUACAUGCACACUCAAAACUUUUAGCUUUGAUCACAAAUGGACAAAUUUCUGAAACCAAAGGCAACUAAGUUGCUCUGUUAGCUCUUGCUGGAUUUUGAGCCUAGGUCCUACUGUCUGCCAGUACUCAUGUGAGUUGUAUGCGCCCCCAGUGCUACAUACGCAGAUACGGAGCAAAUAGCAUCCUUAACCUAUGAAUAAUGGUGUUGCCUAGAUUCUUGUCACACACACAGAAGACCCUUUGUACCUAGUAACAUUCAUCCUCUUGAUUCCUGGUGAACACAGUUAAAUUCAUGCACAUUUGUUCUUGUAGUUUCUAAAAAUUGGAUCAAUUUAUUUGUUAGCCAGCAAAUUGAAAAUUCCAUUAUUAGAUUACUGAAAUUUUUGCUCUGCU
rnacentral:lncRNA from 1 species